AACCUGAAGGGUUACCUUCUUUUCCAUCAUGCCAUCUGGUGUGCAGCACCGCCUGGUGGCUGAGAUCAUCAAGUGAUUCUAACAGAAAGGGUUCCACCUGGUGGCCAUGACGUUCCUUCUGGCCAAGGAAGAACAUCUGAAGCUGUAUGAAACUUUGACCUGAGAGACUCCUUUCUUCAGUGCUGGUGAAGGACAUGAGCUCAGGGCCAGUGGAGCCAUGGACUAAGACAGCCUCCAUGUGGAGAAGCCAGGCUAAGGGAUGCUGGGGACACCAGCCCAGUUGCUUCUAGGCAGGCUCUGCUUGAGGAGAUCUCUGCAUUCAAGCUGACUGGAGCAUCAUUCAAUGCAGUGAUUUAGUACAAAGUGCCUAAGGUUUAAGACUCAAGGGCUCAGUGACUGUACGUCUCAUGCCCAUGACUGGAUCAGUGAA
rnacentral:lncRNA from 1 species